rnacentral:rRNA from 1 species
CGUGUAGGCGGUCGGUCAAGUCCGGUGUGAAAGCCCGGGGCUCAGCUCCGGAAGUGCAUCGGAAACUAGCCGACUUGAGCGCGGUAGAGGAGGGUGGAAUUCCUGGUGUAGCGGUGAAAUGCGUAGAUAUCAGGAGGAACACCGGCGGCGAAGGCGGCCCUCUGGACCGUUGCUGACGCUGAGACGCGAAAGCGUGGGGAGCAAACAGGAUUAGAUACCCUGGUAGUCCACGCUGUAAACGAUGGGUACUAGGUGUUCGGGGUGUUGACCCCCUGAGUGCCGACGCUAACGCAUUAAGUACCCCGCCUGGGAACUACGGCCGCAAGGCUAAA